GUUCAAAAGAGGAAAGGCUUGCGGUGGAUACCUAGGCACUCAGAGACGAGGAAGGGCGUAGCAAGCAAUGAAAUGCUUCGGGGAGUUGAAAAUAAGCAUAGAUUCGGAGAUUCCCAAAUAGGUCAACCUUUUAAACUGCCUGCUGAAUCCAUGAGCAGGCAAGAGACAACCUGGCGAACUGAAACAUCUUAGUAGCCAGAGGAAAAGAAAGCAAAAGUGAUUCCCGUAGUAGCGACGAGCGAAAUGGGAGCAGCCUAAACCGUGAAAACGGGGUUGUGGGAGAGCAAUACAAGCGUUGUGCUGCUAGGCGAAGAGGUUGAGUGUCGCACCCUAGAUAGCUAAAGUCCAGUAGCCAAAAGCAUCACUAGCUUACGCUCUGACCCGAGUAGCAUGGGGCACGUGGAAUCCCGUGUGAAUCAGCAAGGACCACCUUGCAAGGCUAAAUACUCAUGGGUGACCGAUAGCGAAGUAGUACCGUGAGGGAAAGGUGAAAAGAACCCCCGGUGGGUAGUGAAAUAGAAUGUGAAACCAUGCUGAGCUCCCAAGCAGUGGGAGGGGAAAGUGAUCUCUGACCACGCGCCUGUUGAAGAAUGAGCCGGUGACUCAUACGCAGUGGCUUGGUUAAGGGAACGGAACCCACCGGAGCCGUAGCGAAAGAGAGUCUUAAUAGGGAGAUUGUCACUGCUUAUGGACCCGAACCUGGGUGAUCUAUCCGUGACUAGGAUGAAGCUUGGAUGAAAUUAAGCAGAGGUCCGAACCGACUGAUGUUGAAGAACCAGUAUAUGAGUUGUGGUUAGGGGUGAAAUGCCACUCGAACCCAGAGCUAGUUGGUUCUCCCCAAAAUGCGUUGAGGCGCAAUAGUUGACUGGACAUCUGUGGGUAAAGCACGGUUUCGGUGCGGGCUGCGUGAGCGGUACCAAAUCGAGGCAAACUCUGGAUACUAGAUAUGACCCAAAAAUAACAAGGGUCAAGAUCGCCCAGUGAGACGAUGGGGGAGAAGCUUCAUCGUCGAGAGGGAAACAGCCCAGAUCACCAGCUAAGGCCUCUAAAUGACCGCUCAGUGAUAAAGGAGGUGGGGGUGCAAAGACAGUCAGGAGGUUUGCCUAGAAGCAGCGACCCUUUAAAGAGUGCGUAAUAGCUCAUUGAUCGAGCACCCUUGCGCUGAAGAUGAACGGGGCUAAGCGAUCUGCCGAAGCUGUGGGAUGUCAAAAUGCAUUGGUAGGGGAGCGUUCCGCCUUAGAGGGAAGCAACCACGAAAGUGGGGGUCGAUGAAGCGGAAGCGAGAAUGUCGGCUUGAGUAAAGAAAACAUUGGUGAGAAUCCAAUGCCCCGAAAACCCAAGGUUUCCUCCGCAAGGUUCGUCCAUGGAGGGUGAGUCAGGGCCUAAGACCAGGCCGAAACGCGUAGUCGAUGGUCAACAGGUCAAUACUCCUGUACUACCCCUUGUUGGUACAAAGGGACGGAGGAGGCUAGGUUAGCCGAAAGAUGGUUAUAGGUUUAAGGACUCAAGGUGACCCUGCUUUUUCAGGGUAGAAGGGGUAGAGAAAAUGCCUCGAGCCGAGGUCCGAGUACCAAGCGCUACAGCGCUGAAGUAUGAGCCCCGUGGAAUAGCGAUUGCUUCUCCACGGGCUCAUACCAGGCGCUAUGGCGCUGAAGUAUGUAACUGAUGCCAUACUCCCAGGAAAAGCUCGAACAACCUUCAACAAAAGGGUACAUGUACCCGAAACCGACACAGGUGGGUAGGUAGAGAAUACCUAGGGGCGCGAGACAACUCUCUCUAAGGAACUCGGCAAAAUAGCCCCAUAACUUUGGGAGAAGGGGUGCCCCCUCACAAAAGGGGGUCGCGGUGACCAGGCCCGGGCGACUGUUUACCAAAAACAUGAAGGAAAUAUGCCCUAGAGGCAAUAAUAAAGUUAUUAUUUAUUUCCUCAUAUCAUGAUAAAUGUUUAUUAUUCAUGCUAGAAUUGUAUUAACCGGAAACAUGAUACAUGUGUGAAUACAUAGACAAACAUAUAGUCACUAGUAUGCCUCUACUUGACUAGCUCAUUAAUCAAAGAUGGUUAUGUUUCCUAACC
rfam:Triticum aestivum genome assembly, contig: Triticum_aestivum_CS42_TGACv1_scaffold_019764_1AS